CCCUCAGAUGUUCUGGGCUGCACGCGUGCUACACUGAAGUGUCAUAGCGAGUUACCUAUCUUUAACGGGAAGGGUAAUCUUGAAUGCACUUCGUGAUGGGGAUAGAUCAUUGCAAUUAUUGAUCUUCAACGAGGAAUUCCUAGUAAGCGCAAGUCAUCAGCUUGCGCUGAUUACGUCACUGCUUUUCGUACACACCGCCCGUCGCUCCUACCGAUUGAGUGUUCCGGCGAACAAUUUGGACGAGCUCGGUUUACCUUGCUUGGAAGUCUUGUAAGCCAUAACACUUAGAGGAAGGAGAAGUCGUAACA
rnacentral:rRNA from 1 species